rnacentral:rRNA from 1 species
UACGGAGGGUGCGAGCGUUGUCCGGAAUCACUGGGCGUAAAGGGCGCGUAGGCGGCCUGAUAAGUAGGGGGUGAAAUCCUGCGGCUUAACCGCAGGGCUGCCUUCUAAACUGUCAGGCUAGAGCACGGUAGAGGCAGAUGGAAUUCCCGGUGUAGCGGUGGAAUGCGUAGAGAUCGGGAAGAACAUCAGUGGCGAAGGCGACUUCCUGGCCUGUUCUUGACGCUGAGGCGCGAAAGCUAGGGGAGCAAACGGG